UGUUCUAAUAUCACAUACAAAGAUCUAUCCACACACCAACACAACGAGCUUCAUUCAAAAACCCUAAUUUUAAUGAAGCUCUCGAUCCCCUGUUAAUUCUGAUGAAGAUGAAGACCGCAAUGCCACUGCUGAUGAACCAGUCGAUGAUGAAUACGAUGAUGAUUAUGCUUCAAGGAUGGAGAUAGAUGAUUCAAUCAACUAUUUGAUUAGAGGAAAUACCAAGACCAAUCGAUGGGCCCAAUUGCGUAGCCUCAAGUUUUGAUGAUAGUAAGUGAACCCAUUUAUGAAGCUAAGAAAAGGGACAAUGACACAAGGUACUCAGGCUAAUCAGGGAUAAGGACUGCUAUGCUAGGCUG